UCCUUCUCUCAACAGCCAAGCUUCUUCAAAGAAGUUUCCUUUACCUUCCAGCUUUGUGUUUUGUCCCCAAUCUAUUGAAAUCUGCCUGCGCCAAAUCACUUCUUUGAAAUUGUUCGCAUCAAGGUGUUGAUGCCAGUUCUGAAAUGUCUGUCUGGGAGCUGUCUGAGCAGAAGCAGACCUGAAUGUGCCAACGAUAAGCUGGAGGCCACACACCUGUGCUUAUUUCUAUCGGUGCUGCCCCUGCCUUCAAGAUGUAUCACCUUUCCAGCAAAUUGAAGGCAAGACCGUCCACCUGCAAAAUUAUUAAGACUCACUUUAUUGUGAUACUUCAUUGCUGGGGUCUGGAACUAAACCCACAACAACUCCAAAGUAUGCCGGUAUCUGUCUAUCCCUUUAUCUGUACAUAUGAAUAUAAAUAAUUCUGGAUUGAUA